UUUCAAUGCAAAGGACAGCACCUGCAUCCCAAUUAAUCUCCUAAGCGUCAUUACAUUUACAGAUUUUUUUCCUUCUUUGUCGUGAUUUAAAAGAGCUAAAAGUAAAAUGGCAUCAUUGAAGGCUGAAAAAUCAGUGGGCACUCAGCUCUUUGGGCAGGUCAAGAAGGACACUGCCAAGACUAGUGCUGAUGGGGCUUCCAAAGCCCCCGCUCCCUCCAAACCAGCUGCCAAGAAGGCUGGCACAAAGUCUGAACCUAAGAAGAAGGCUAAGGCCGGAAAAUCAGCUCCCAAGCACUAACCCGGUUUGGUAGCAUCAUAUGGAGAGAAGCUGACUGAAGGCCUUAAUACUGAUAUUUGUGCCUUUUAGUUUAUACCCGAAUCCGCCCACCCUGUUUUAGUAUUUUACAAGUGUAAUCCUUGGACUUUGUAUCUCUAUGUAACUCGGUUUGCUUGCUUAUUUUGCAGAAUAAAAUACGCCUGUUCUGAAGAAACUUCUUAUAAA